GAUGAACGCUAGCGGGAGGCCUAACACAUGCAAGUCGAACGGGAUUGGGAGCUUGCUCCCAUGAGAGUGGCGCACGGGUGAGUAACGCGUAUGCAACCUACCUUUAACUGAGGGAUAGCCCAUAGAAAUGUGGAUUAAUACCUCAUAGUUCUUUUGGCCCGCAUGGGUCGAUAGAUAAAGCUCCGGCGGUUAAAGAUGGGCAUGCGUGACAUUAGCUAGUUGGUAAGGUAACGGCUUACCAAGGCUACGAUGUCUAGGGGUUCUGAGAGGAUGAUCCCCCACACUGGUACUGCGACACGGACCAGAAUCCUACGGGAGGUAGCAGUGAGGAAUAUUAGUCAAUGGGCGCAAGCCUGAACCAGCCAUCCCGCGUGAAGGAUGAAGGCCCUAUGGGUCGUAAACUUCUUUUAUACACCAAGAAAAAUCCCCACGUGUGGGGACCCGACGGUAGUGUAUGAAUAAGCAUCGGCUAACUCCGUGCCAGCCGCCGCGGUAACAC
rnacentral:rRNA from 1 species